GCAGUGACGCCAUCAGCCGUCGCCUGAGCCGUGGCGCGCGGGUGGCCGAAAGGCGAAAGUGAGAUUUCAAGGGCCGGGUCUGGGGCCCCGCGGGCGCGCAGUGCUGCGGCGUGUGGGGAGUACGGGGAGGCUGGAGAGGAGCCGGCCCCGGGCAGUGUGAGGUGCGGAAGCGCGGUCCAGACACUUUGCUGACGGGAGGCCGGUCCGCCAGAUCCGGGAGGUGGGGCCUCGUUCUGGACUGCUAUAAGAAACAGAGGCAAAUGCAGGUUAAGGAACCUCACAGUAAGGGAUAAAACUCAUAUUUUAACCUGAUCUGCCUGAUUCUGGAGCCUGCACCAUCAUUCCAUUGUCGUGCUUGCCACAUGUUUCAUCGUUUUUCAGUCUCUUUGAGGCUUGCUAAAAUUGAUAUCCAUGAGUUCUAUCAAUUCUGGGACAGAGAACAAAUUGUGUUCUGUAAGGAUGGAGGGACAGCGAGGAAUUUGCCAAGACAUUUUGGAGUUUCUGAAAUAAAACCCACUUGAUCCCUUCUAUGUUCAUCUCCUGCGCUGGAUUUGAUUCAUUAAUAUUUUAUUUCAGUUUUUAAAUCUGUAUCUAUAAAUGACAUUCACACACCA
rnacentral:lncRNA from 1 species